UACGGAGGGUGCAAGCGUUGUUCGGAAUCACUGGGCGUAAAGGGCGUGUAGGCGGUCUGUUAAGUCUGGUGUGAAAUCCCCCCGCUCAACGGGGGAACGGCGCCGGAUACUGGCAGACUCGAGUACCGGAGAGGAAGGUGGAAUUCCCGGUGUAGCGGUGAAAUGCGUAGAUAUCCGGAGGAACACCGGUGGCGAAGGCGGCUUCCUGGACCGAUUACUGACGCUGAGGCGCGAAAGCUAGGGGAGCAAACGGG
rnacentral:rRNA from 1 species